rnacentral:tmRNA from 1 species
GGGGAUGUUUUGGUUUUGACAGCAUUGACCUCGGACAGUAAGCACGUCGGGCGUAGAUGGCUGGCCCGUUAAUCCCAGUCUUCAAGCCAUAACUGGCAACUACAACUACUCAUACGCUUGCUAGUCUCCAAGAGAUUGAGCAUUAAUCGCUUCAGCCUAGGCUGCUGAACCGACGUAUAUCCCUCCAGCUUUAGGCCGGUUCAGUCUGGAUCAAGGGGUAUCAUCAAAACCGGAUGCGGAAGGAGGCCUCCUCCAGUCCUUCCUAAGUUUUCAGAGGAUAAGUUGCGCUGAGCCUGUCUUUCGGCAUUGCGCUUCCGACAAUCAAAGAAAGAAUAAGCGUGUAGAAAGCUGUUUGGAGCGGUGUUUGGACGAGGGUUCGAGUCCCUCCAUCUCCACA